UCUUUGAUAAUAUAUAAUGGAAGAUUCACAAGCCGGUUAGAGCCACAUUUAUCUGUUUAACAAAAUGAUUUUUAAAGUGGGGAUAUGAACAGAAGUGGUCAUUCCGUACUAUGGUCCAAAUUGUGUGGCUUGACUUUGGCUUGCCAUCUGAAAAUGACUUCAUCGCUACCAGUCAAUCAGCAAUAGGGAUACCUGUCCGUCAAUAAUAAUGCGAGACUUAUCGUCUUCUACUGAUUGGUCUCUCUCUCUCUCUCUCUCUCUCUCUCUCUCAUUUCUCACUUUAUCUUUCACAUUCGGCCUCUCUCUUGCAUAAAGCAUUCGAGACUAUCGUCUACUGAUUAUUCCUCACUCGCUUUCUCUGUUCUUUUCCCCCUUGAAAGUUCUUGCCCAGGCUUGUUCAGGGUCUUCUCUCCCCGAUCUCGCGCCUCUCUUCGCAUCUCAGCUCGCAGGAGCAGAGGAGGGUCUUCUAUUCUCUCUUUUGGAGCCGUUGUUGCCUGUUAACGAGGUAUGUCCCCAGCUCAGAUUUUACUUCGGUGCAAAAAGAAAGCCCUUUGUUUUCGACUUUAGAUGUGGCUAAUCCUAUGAUGGCCUUGCUGGCUGAUUGUUAGUUGCAUCGUAAUUCAGUAUUUGAUCUUUUGUUGAA